rnacentral:rRNA from 1 species
AGAAUCAACGCUGGCGGCGUGCCUAACACAUGCAAGUCGCACGAGAAAGGGGCUUCGGCCCUGAGUAAAGUGGCGCACGGGUGAGUAACACGUGAAUGAUCUACCUCCGAGUGGGGAAUAACUGAGAGAAAUCUUAGCUAAUACCGCAUAACACUUACGAGUCAAAGCAGCAAUGCGCUUGGAGAGGAGUUCGCGGCAGAUUAGUUAGUUGGCGGGGUAAUGGCCCACCAAGACGAUGAUCUGUAUCCGGCCUGAGAGGGCGCACGGACACACUGGAACUGAAACACGGUCCAGACUCCUACGGGAGGCAGCAGUGGGGAAUUUUGCGCAAUGGGGGAAACCCUGACGCAGCAACGCCGCGUGGAGGAUGAAGUAUCUCGGUACGUAAACUCCUUUCGAUGGGGAAGAUGAUGACGGUACCCAUAGAAGAAGCCCCGGCUAACUUCGUGCCAGCAGCCGC